rnacentral:rRNA from 1 species
UACGUAGGGGGCUAGCGUUGUCCGGAAUCAUUGGGCGUAAAGCGCGUGUAGGCGGUUCGGUAAGUCCGCUGUGAAAGUCGGGGGCUCAACCCUCGAAUGCCGGUGGAUACUGUCGGACUAGAGUACGGAAGAGGCGAGUGGAAUUCCUGGUGUAGCGGUGAAAUGCGUAGAUAUCAGGAGGAACACCGGCGGUGUAGACGGCUUUCUGGACCGUAGCUGACGCUGAGACACGAAAGCGUGGGUAGCAAACAGG